GAUGAACGCUGGCGGCGUGCCUAAUACAUGCAAGUCGAGCGAACAGACGAGGAGCUUGCUCCUUUGACGUUAGCGGCGGACGGGUGAGUAACACGUGGAUAACCUACCUAUAAGACUGGGAUAACUUCGGGAAACCGGAGCUAAUACCGGAUAAUAUUUCGAACCGCAUGGUUCGAUAGUGAAAGAUGGCUUUGCUAUCACUUAUAGAUGGACCUGCGCUGUAUUAGCUAGUUGGUAAGGUAACGGCUUACCAAGGCAACGAUACGUAGCCGACCUGAGAGGGUGAUCGGCCACACUGGAACUGAGACACGGUCCAGACUCCUACGGGAGGCAGCAGUAGGGAAUCUUCCGCAAUGGGCGAAAGCCUGACGGAGCAACGCCGCGUGAGUGAUGAAGGUCUUCGGAUCGUAAAACUCUGUUAUUAGGGAAGAACAAACGUGUAAGUAACUGUGCACGUCUUGACGGUACCUAAUCAGAAAGCCACGGCUAACUACGUG
rnacentral:rRNA from 1 species